UGUUGGUGGGGUAAUGGCCUACCAAGGCGACGACGGGUAGCCGGCCUGAGAGGGCGACCGGCCACACUGGGACUGAGACACGGCCCAGACUCCUACGGGAGGCAGCAGUGGGGAAUAUUGCACAAUGGGCGGAAGCCUGAUGCAGCGACGCCGCGUGAGGGAUGACGGCCUUCGGGUUGUAAACCUCUUUCGACUCCGACGAAGCGAAAGUGACGGUAGGAGUAUAAGAAGCACCGGCCAACUACGUGCCAGCAGCCGCGGUAAUACGUAGGGUGCGAGCGUUGUCCGGAAUUACUGGGCGUAAAGAGCUUGUAGGCGGUCUGUCGCGUCUUCUGUGAAAACUUGGGGCUCAACCUUAAGCUUGCAGGCGAUACGGGCAGACUAGAGUACUUCAGGGGAGACUGGAAUUCCUGGUGUAGCGGUGAAAUGCGCAGAUAUCAGGAGGAACACCGGUGGCGAAGGCGGGUCUCUGGGAAGUAACUGACGCUGAGAAGCGAAAGCAUGGGUAGCGAACAGGAUUAGAUACCCUGGUAGUCCAUGCCGUAAACGGUG
rnacentral:rRNA from 1 species